rnacentral:tRNA from 1 species
AAUAAGGUAGCUUAUAUAAAGUUAAUUAUUUACAUUAAUUAGAAAAUUAAUUUAAUUUCUUAUUA